AUACGUAGGUGCCAAGCGUUAUCCGGAUUUACUGGGCGUAAAGGGCGUGUAGGCGGUCUUGCAAGUCAGAAGUGAAAUUCCUGAGCUCAACUCGGGCGCUGCUUCUGAAACUGCAGGACUUGAGUGCUGGAGGGGAUAGCGGAAUUCCUAGUGGAGCGGUAAAAUGCGCAGAUAUUAGGAAGAACACCGGUGGCGAAGGCGGCUAUCUGGACAGUAACCGCCGCUGAGGCGCGGAAGCGUGGGGAGCAAACAGGAUUAGAUACCCUUGGACUCCACGCUGUAAACGAUGAAUACUAGGUGUAGGGGGUAUCGACUCCCUCUGUGCCGCAGUUAACACAAUAAGUAUUCCGCCUGGGGAGUACGGCCGCAAGGUUGAAACUCAAAGGAAUUGACGGGG
rnacentral:rRNA from 1 species